rnacentral:rRNA from 1 species
AGAAGGCAUCUUUAUGGUUGAAAAUUCCCGAUGGUUAGAGAUGGGCAUGCGUUGUAUUAGCUAGUUGGUGAGGUAACGGCUCACCAAGGCGACGAUACAUAGGGGGACUGAGAGGUUAACCCCCCCACACUGGUACUGAGACACGGACCAGACUCCUACGGGAGGCAGCAGUGAGGAAUAUUGGUCAAUGGACGCAAGUCUGAACCAGCCAUGCCGCGUGCAGGAUGACGGCUCUAUGAGUUGUAAACUGCUUUUGUACUAGGGUAAACUCACCUACGUGUAGGUGACUGAAAGUAUAGUACGAAUAAGGAUCGGCUAACUCCGUG